UUCUUUGGGAGCUUUUCCUCUUCUGAUUUCCUCACAACCCACAAAAAGUUGUGGUUGCAGUCCUUGAGCCCCUGUGCUAUUUCCUCCAUUUGUUCUGCACUCACUGUUAUGAAGCUUCCAAAUGAAACAUAUAUGACCGAUCCACUAGGUUUAUCGUUUAGCCAGUUCAUGCAAACCUCGUCGUUUGGCUUGAAAAGAUUAAUAGCAUAAUCUUUAUCAUCUUCAAGUCUCUUGUCCAGGUACAUAGAUGGCAGUGUUGGUCCUACGGUCCUCACUUUCCAGAUUUCUGGCAUGUAUCCCAGAACCUACAUAUAAUUUUAUGAUCCGAAACAAACAAAUAUUACCAACAAAUUGUGACCCUUAAUUAGACACAGAUAAGCUAUGAGAUUCAAGUGCACAUAAGGAAAAGCCAUCACUGUACUAGUUUACUCAUUUUCUAAGGGGAAGUAAUAAGGUCUGAUGCAUUAGGGUAAUACCCGGGCGGAACCAGGGGUUUAACAUAGGCUAUAGUUCUGAUUGACCUUCGCAAAUAGGAUAAAUUUCAAUUUAAUAGCUGAACAAAUUUCGCCCCCUUACAAUACAGACACACAAAUAAACCAGUAGAUUCAACUUGGUAUAUAAAGAACUUUCUAGAGUAGUGAUAUAUGCACAAAAUUGUGUACAAAAUUUUGCACAAAAUGACAUGGCAAUUGAGGUAGGAUGUUUCAAUUGGUUCUAUUCAUGUGAAUAUAGCGGUACAUUCCACUUAACACAUCAGUUUUUUAAAGAUUUUGUACCCAAUUUUGUGCACGAAGCAUUUUCUCUACGACAAGUAAGAUAAACUUAUCAACAUACAUACCUCUUCUUCCAGUUUUUGGAAUGCAUUAAAAAAGACCCAAUCUGCAUCAUCAACAUUAGAGAACUGAUUCACUACAAGAUCCAAGUAAUCCAAAGGAGCUGGAGUUUCCCAUGAUCUAAACAAAGGCAAGCCAGGAAUGGAAAUGAUUGAUGGGUUAUCACCCGGCCGUGGGAGAGAGAUAAGACCCUUGUACACAUUAUAAUAAAUGUAGUUCACAGCACAUGACUGAGUAAAAAACACAGCUUUAACAAGUCCAAACUUGCUGGCAACAUCCAGAGCCCAAGGCAUGAAACCAUCAUAGAUGAGCACAUUCACAGGGUUGCCAGACUCAUCAAGUUUCUUGAUGAGGUCUUGCAGAGUCCGGGAGCCGACAGUGCGCAGACUGGAGAGGUAGAUAUCAACACUCUCUGCUUGGGCAUAGCCACCCUGAUCAAAACCAUCUGAGUAAGUCUCGAAAGAGAUGAGACUCUUGGGGUCAGAAAGCAUGGAGUUGGAGAUGCAGACAGUGUUUGCAAGUGUGACUUUGAUGCCCUUUGAGACCAAGCGUUUGGAGAACUGGAGCAUGGGGUUUAUGUGGCCUUGAGCAGGGUAAGGAAGCAGCAGUGCAUGAGGAGGGCUUUUUUUCUUCUCCAACUCCAUUUCUAUGCUCUUAAUUUUUUUGUGUUUCAGUUGUCUAAGAAGUCAGCUUUUAUUUCAGAAAUACUUGUGUUGAGUGUUGUGAUACAAGAUUAAGAUAUUCACUUUGUAGUAUCCGUCCAGUUGAACUGGAUUCAAUAAUCUGAUACUCCAGUAUAUAGUUUCCACAUGGCUUUGGAUUUUCUCCGCAUACGUAUGCAAUUGCGUGAACAUAACUUUACCUAUACUAAUAACAGAAUGGUUACUGGUCCCUUGCCUAUCAUUUUCUGACUUCUAGAUUAAUAUUUUGCGGUAGAUUAUAACAAAACUUUAAUAUGUCAAGUGAUGGAUGGGGUCAUUUUAUCCUAACACUUAAAAAGAAAUCGUCAAACAUAUAUUAUAAUCAGAAAAUGAUAGGUUACUUAACUGAUCCCUUCACAUACGUAUGCACCAGACCCUCAUAGCAUUUCUCAUUAUGUCAACAUCCGUGUAAUGCAGUUACCCGAAUAAUUGAGUUUUCGAGAUCGUCAACAAAAUUGUACGUGGCUCGGCCCCAACACUUAUAUCACUUCAGCAACCCAUCGGUGUCAAUAUUCACUCACCACCUAAUCAUUUCAGCUGCCCUCGGUUUUGCAAAUCCUCCGAGCCCCUUGGCAUGAAGUUGUCGAUUCUGCUGUUUCAGGAAUCGGGGACAGCGGAUAAUUAAAAUUUAAGACAUAUAGUCGACUGAGCACGAUUGGAUAGCCCAAGUGGUUAAGGGGCUUAUCCUCUGUUGGCCCAGGUCUUGGUUCGACUCUGGCUCAUCUCGAGAAUAUCUUAGAAUAGAUACUCAAAUUGUAAGGCUAUAAGCCACAUUAGUCAAAAAAGACAUAUAGUUGACUAAUCGAACCCGUAUAUAUUUCGAUUCACAAAAAUUUUGAAAUAAUAAUUUUGAUCAUUCUAUAAGUAGUAUUAUAAGAAAAGUUUAUACAAAAAAAUAAAUAAAUACAUUUAAUAGUUUGAAAAUAAAACUUUACCUUACAAUAUAAUUUCAUAUAGAUGGCCCAUAGAUCUAAUUUCUCGAUAAUUAAAAUUUUAAAUGUUUUGAUAUAUAUAAUAAAUUACUUUGACCAUACGUUAUUACAGGUACUGUUUCUAAAAUUAAAAUUUGAGAAUAAAAGUAUUAGUUUAACAUUUAUAUUUAUAGACUAGUCAGGUUCGCACUUAUAUUUUAUUUCGUCCUGAGUAUUUUAUUCCCCAUAACAAAUAGGCUAGUUCACUCUCUCACUCUCUCACAAUCUCACUUACCAUUCCAAGUACUCCCUCAGUUAACUAUCAUCAUCUACCAUUCCAAGUAGUCGAUAAGGUCUACAUGUUCCUUGACAGUACUUGACGAGAUUUGGUUCAAAACUCAGUACCAAAUGCUUGACAAUCCUCACAGAACUUAUUUAGGAAAGGAUCUCUACUUUAUGCCAACAAUAAUAUUUCUGAUGCCCUUAUAUUCGACAAGCUUCUCCGACUCCUAACAUCGGGGUCGUUUGACGUAACUUAAAAGAAGUUACUUAUUGCUUUUAAGUGAUUUCUUGAUUAAAAGUGAUAAAUAAUUUUAUACUUAUAAGUUGUUUACGUGUUUGGAUAAAUUCAUUGAAAUUCACGACUUAUUAGGUAUAAAAAUUGCUAAAAUAAUAAUAAAAUAUUAUAAACUAUCUUUGAGAAUGAUCCUACACAUCGCUGUGAAGUUAAAUUUUGAAAAAAAAAGUAAGUCAAGAAAAAAAGCUAGCAUUUCUAACUUCCAAAACUCCAGCUUAUAAGUCGUCUGAAGUGCUUAUAAUUUCUUUACUCAAACACUACAAAAUAAGUAGGAGUUGACUUAUAAGCUAAAAGCUGGGCUUAAAAGCCCGGCCAAACACCCCCAUCAUUUCCUUACCACCACACCCAACUUGCUUCUACUUAUUUAAUGCACCCAGCAGCAUGUUGCCCAAGUACAACCCUGCAUUUCUUCUAAAACUCUCCGGACUCUAGAGCAACUAGAAGUCUAGAACAAGCCUUCGUUGCUCCUCAUCCGUUCGAUAUUGAUGGUAUUCUGAAUCUGUUUGUGGAUCUCUACUAUGUACCAACUACCAACAAUGCCAAUUCUGGUGCCCUUAUAUUUGGCAAGCUAGCUUCUCAGACACAUAACAAAAGUGGAACUACAAUAUGAUGCCUACUAUCGUUUACUCUUUUAAUUAACCCCAAAACCAAUCUUUUCUAUCCUUGAUCAGAAAUUUCUCUUAUAAAACAACAAAUCAGAGUUUGAAGGAGGAGAAGAUAGUAUACCCUUUAUCCGCAACAUAAAGAGGAGAAUUUAUUUAAUCACGUAAUUUGGGCUUCUACAACAUGACACCCAGGGAGAUUCCAUCGAAAGGCCAUUUGCCUAUUAAAUUGAAAACUAGUUAAUAACCCGUGCCAAGCACGGGUUUAAAUAAAAUUUUAAAAUUUGUUAUUUAUUGGAAGAAUAAUGUGUUUUUAGUUACAUUAUCAUAUUUUUAUUAUACUUAUUUAAAUUAUUGUUUUUAAAUGAUAUUUAAAUUAUUGUUAUUUAAUAUAAGACUUUCUAUAUAUUAAAAUUUGAUCCAACUUUAAAUUUAUUUCAUAACAAUAUGGGUCCCCGUUUGAUGGAGUUCACAAAAUAAGAGUAUUGGCGUCCAAAAUUAUUUAAAAAUAAUCUACUCGUUUCAAUUUUAAUUCUAGUUGGAGUUUUUGUAGAUCUAACUGUUGUUGUAGUUGUUUGACAAACUCAUAUUGUAGUUUGACAAAAUUAAUUAACUUUUCAAAAGUAAUUUGAUAUCAAAUAUUUUGACGUAUGUCUAGAGUUUUGGUUCUUUUAUUAUAUGUUGCAACAUGGGUAAUGUCUUCAUUUUCUUUGAGUUUCUAUUUAUCAAGUCAGUGUUACCACCGCUUUAUUCAUCUUUAUCGCAAUCUUCUGAAAAACACUGAAUGAUAAUAAUUAUUAUUAUUAAAAAAAAAUAUGACCAAGUUUUUUGGUACUUUGGUAUCAAUAUUAAAUCUUGUUUAUUUUAAUUCUAAAACAUGAUAGAAAUUUUAUAGAUUUGUUUCGUAAAUUAAAUUGUAUGAGUUUUAAAAAUUAAAACGAAUAUUUGACGUAAAUAUAGAGUUUCGGUUCUUUUAUUAUAUGUUGCAAUAUGGACAAUGACUUCAUCUUUUUAGUUUCCAUUUGUCUAGAGUUACCACCGCCUUAUUCGUCUUUAUCGCAAUUUUCUGAAAAACACUGAAUGAUAAUAAUAAUUAUUAUUAAAAAAUAUAUGAUCAAGUUUUUUGGUACUUUGGUAUCAAUAUGAACUCCUUAUUUAUUUGAACUCUGAAGCAUGAUAAACUGUGCGGAUAGGAUAAAUGUUAUAUUACAAAAUCCUAAACACCGUGGAUGUCUUUUUACAGUAGGAUAAUAAUGUUAAACUAUAUUUAAAUUCUUAAGAUUAAAAUCCGAAUCAAUAUAAAAUGCUUUUCAUAAUUGUAUAAUAAUAAUUAUAAAAUUCUAAAAAUGUAUAAUAAUAAGUAUAAAAUCCUAACAAUAUGCAAAUCUUUUCAUAAUUCUAUAAUGGUUAUUGUUACUAAAUAAAAAAUUUAUAUAACAUUGUUAUAAUUAAAAUUGAAGUUUUUAAUAAUAAAAUUCUAAUCAAUACAGAAGUCAUUCAUUGUCCUACUGAAUAUUGAGGUUUUUAAUAAUAAAAUUUUAUUCAAUAUAAAAAUCUUUUGAUAAUAAUAUAAUAAUGACUAUAAAAUCCUAAUCAAUAUGAAAGUGACUGAAUGUUGGUACUUUGGUACCGAUGUUCCACCGAAACGUGGUUUUGCUUAUUAAUAAAGGAUAUAGAUAAUACAUUUAACUAUAUGAUCAAAACACUUUGAACUAUGCGACAAAACAAUUAAAAAAAAGGGAGUAAAAUUUAUUAUCCAUUUCAAAUAUUUUCAUAUAAAUACCCUUAAAGCUCAUCAAAAAGAAUUAUCUUUUCAACCAACACAAACUUCUCUGCCAAUUGGCUUGCAUAUUAUUGCAUUUCAAGCUCUAAAGAGCCAAGUACUGAAGUUGCAUCAGACUUGUGAAGAUGCAGCUGACUGAUGUAGAAUGAUAUUGUAGAGAACUAUGAACUAGAAUAUUACAAACGGUUUUUCCGAUGUGUGCGCAUGGGCACACACUAAUCACCAAAUUUUAUAAGUUUGGUGAAUUUUGAUUGGCUCAUGCUUCUUUAUAAUGGUGGACCCCCUGCAAAUUCACCAACCAUACCAAUCAAAAUCUACCAAAAUUAUAGAUUUUGGCGCUUAACAUGUGCUCAUGGGCACACACUAGACAAAGCUUAUUACAAAUCAAGAAAAGUAUGUAAAACAUAAGUAAGUUGAGCAUACCAAGGUAAUUAAACACACAGGACCAGCAGAACAAUUAAGGAGAAAGUUCCAACUUCAAACUUCAAUAUAUAGAAACUGCAUACUGAACUUUAAAAAGAACAUUUAAAAAAAGAAAAAAACCAGAAACUUAGUACUGAUGCUAUGACGAACUAGUGUUUUGUUAGGAACAUUACUCCAAUUUUAUUGCACCUUCCACAAAACACUGACCCUAGAGGCGCCUCCGCUUGCGCCUGCCAUUAGGAAUCCCAGAAACCACUGCUGCGGACCCUUCUGCAGCUACAGCUAUUCCAAUAAUGCUGCUACCACUUCGUUUACUAGCCACAGUUUGACCUCCCUUAUCAUCCACGGAUGCAACUGUUUCAAGAAGCUCAGACAACAAGGACUGACAACUUUCUUCCAAGUACUUGAAGCCUUCCAAUAAAUAUUAAAUUGAGUGGAACUUUCGAAAUCUGCUUCGGCUGAAACAGAGGCUUAGUGCAACAAUGUAGCAGCAAAUUCAUUAAUAUUCCUAUCUGAGGUUCCGCCUUCAUCGACAGCUUCUUUAGCCAAAUUCUUCCAGUUGGCCGCCCUGGUCUUGAUUGUUUUCCCUUUCUCCCCCUCCAUAACCUCUGCUAUUAAAGAUUGCAGCACUUUUCCUUUCACAAUUCCCUUGUCAUCUGGCUUAGCUCUGACCCCCACGCCCCAAACCUCCUCCACGUACUUGGCAUUCGCGGGCUGAUCAGUCCACUGCGGUAUCCCCACCAUAGGCACUCCCAAACUUAUGGCUUCCAGAACUGAAUUGAAUCCACAAUGUGUCACGAAACAACCUACUGACUCGUGUGUUAAUAUUUCCAGCUGUCGACUCCAUGUCACCACCAAACCCUUUCCUGAUAUCACAUUGAUAAAGUUAUUCGGGAGCUUUGCCUCUUCUGAUUUCCUCACAACCCACAAAAAGUUGUGGUUGCAGUCCUUGAGCCCCUGUGCUAUUUCCUCCAUUUGUUCUACACUCACUGUUAUGAAGCUUCCAAAUGAAACAUAUAUGACUGAUCCACUAGGUUUAUCGUUUAGCCAGUUCAUGCAAACCUCAUUGUUUGGCUUGAAAAGAUUAAUAGCAUAAUCUUUAUCAUCUUCAAGUCUCUUGUCCAGGUACAUAGAUGGCAGUGUUGGUCCUAUCGUCCUCACUUUCCAGAACUUUGGCAGGUACCCCGAAACCUGCAUAUAAUUUGUUAUGAUCCGAAACAAACAGAUAUUACCCUUAAUUAGACACAGAUAAGCUAUGAGAUUCAAGUGCACAUAAGAAAAAGCCAUCAAUGUACUAGUUUACUCAUUUUCUAAGGGGAAGUAAUAAGGUCUAAUGCAUUUGGGUAAUACCCAGGCGGAACCAGGGGUUUAACAUGGACUAUAGUUCUGGCUGACCUUCGAAAAUCAGGAUAAAUUUAAUUUAUAAGCCAUGUGACUUUUAGUUAAAAGCUGAUCUUCAGCCCUGGCACACAAGUGAGGAGAUUCAUAAACUU
rnacentral:lncRNA from 1 species